ACCGCAUGGUUCAACGUUGAAAGACGGUUUCGGCUGUCACUUAUAGAUGGACCCGCGCCGUAUUAGCUAGUUGGUAAGGUAACGGCUUACCAAGGCAACGAUACGUAGCCGACCUGAGAGGGUGAUCGGCCACACUGGAACUGAGACACGGUCCAGACUCCUACGGGAGGCAGCAGUAGGGAAUCUUCCGCAAUGGGCGAAAGCCUGACGGAGCAACGCCGCGUGAGUGAUGAAGGUCUUAGGAUCGUAAAACUCUGUUGUUAGGGAAGAACAAAUUUGUUAGUAACUGAACAAGUCUUGACGGUACUUAACCAGAAAGCCACGGCUAACUACGUGCCAGCAGCCGCGGUAAUACGUAGGUGGCAAGCGUUAUCCGGAAUUAUUGGGCGUAAAGCGCGCGUAGGCGGCGAGAUUAGUCUGAUGUGAAAGCCCCCGGCUCAACCGGGGAAGGUCAUUGGAAACUGUUUCGCUUGAGUGCAGAAGAGGAGAGUGGAAUUCCAUGUGUAGCGGUGAAAUGCGCAGAGAUAUGGAGGAACACCAGUGGCGAAGGCGGCUCUCUGGUCUGCAACUGACGCUGAUGUGCGAAAGCGUGGGGAUCAAACAGGAUUAGAUACCCUGGUAGUCCACGCCGUAAACGAUGAGUGCUAAGUGUUAGGGGGUUUCCGCCCCUUAGUGCUGCAGCAAACGCA
rnacentral:rRNA from 1 species